CAGUAGCCACGGUAAUACGGAGGGUGCAAGCGUUAUCCGGAUUCACUGGGUUUAAAGGGUGCGUAGGCGAAUCUGUAAGUCAGUGGUGAAAUCUCCAGGCUUAACCUGGAAACUGCCGUUGAUACUAUAGGUCUUGAAUUUUGUGGAGGUUAGCGGAAUAUGUCAUGUAGCGGUGAAAUGCAUAGAUAUGACAUAGAACACCAAUUGCGAAGGCAGCUGGCUACACAACUAUUGACGCUGAGGCACGAAAGCGUGGGGAUCAAACAGGAUUAGAUACCCCAGUAGUCCCUGUCUCUUAUAC
rnacentral:rRNA from 1 species